ACUAUCUCUCUCUCUCUCUCUCUCGCCUCUGAAAUAUUUCUUACUGCCAAUGAAAAAAAGCUGAUCCACCUGAUGCGGCGCCAGUGGUCUCUGUCGGACACUCAAAGUGUCUCUCCUCCAUCGUUAGGCUGCUCCACCUUGUCCCUACCUAAGAUUUCUGCCAGUGAACGCGCGACACCUCCGUUACUCAAUCUCUAUUUUACGAGUUAUCAUCCUUUUACAGCAAGCUUGAUGACAUGACUUCUCCAUGUGUCCAGUUCUGAAGCAAGUAAGUGUUGGGGAAGCUAGGAAAGAAAUAUAUAUAUAUAUAUAUAUAUAUAUAUGGUGCCGACUCCAAAACCAUUAGCUUGGAUUAAAUGUUUAUUGGUGGCCGAUUGUGGGAGGACAUGAGGAUGGAUGUGCUGCAUGAAUAUUUUACAACUUCUUGGCAGAAUGAAGACAAUACUGUACGUAAGAGCUGGAGUACUAAGGGUGUGCUCAUCAAGCAACAAAGGGUGAUUUAGGAUUAAGAUCAAGUCUUGAUAUUUGUUGCACUAGUUCUUGGGUAAUUGAAAAACACUGAUGGAUGAAUAUUAUUAGGCCAGUACUAGUUAGACAAGU